AUUCCAGCUCCAAUAGCGUAUAUUAAAGUUGCUGCAGUUAAAAAGCUCGUAGUUGGAUUUGUGGCGCGGCCGUCCGGCGGGGCUCCUUCAUUGGGGCCGUUUGUCUGGUUUUUCGGCCGCACCAUUCUCGGGUAGUGUGUCGCUGGCAUUAGGUUGUCGGCUUCUUCACGCCCGUCGUUUACUGUGAAAAAAUUAGAGUGUUCAAAGCAGGCUUAGGCCGUUGGAUACAUUAGCAUGGAAUAAUGAGAUAGGGCCACGACGGUCUAUUUUGUUGGUUUGCACGUUGUGGUAAUGAUUAACAGGAACGGUUGGGGGUAUUCGUAUUCAAUUGUCAGAGGUGAAAUUCUUGGAUUUAUGGAAGACGAACUACUGCGAAAGCAUUUACCAAGGAUGUUUUCAUCA
rnacentral:rRNA from 1 species